rnacentral:rRNA from 1 species
GACGAACGCUGGCGGCGUGCCUAAUACAUGCAAGUAGAACGCACAGUUUAUACCGUAGCUUGCUACACCAUAAACUGUGAGUUGCGAACGGGUGAGUAACGCGUAGGUAACCUGCCUGGUAGCGGGGGAUAACUAUUGGAAACGAUAGCUAAUACCGCAUAAUAUUGAUUAUUGCAUGAUAAUUGAUUGAAAGAUGCUAUUGCAUCACUACCAGAUGGACCUGCGUUGUAUUAGCUAGUAGGUGAGGUAACGGCUCACCUAGGCGACGAUACAUAGCCGACCUGAGAGGGUGAUCGGCCACACUGGGACUGAGACACGGCCCAGACUCCUACGGGAGGCAGCAGUAGGGAAUCUUCGGCAAUGGACGAAAGUCUGACCGAGCAACGCCGCGGGAGUGAAGAAGGGUUUCGGAUCGUAAAGCUCUGUUGUAAGAGAAGAACGGGUGUGAGAGUGGAAAGUUCACACUGUGACGGUAUCUUACCAGAAAGGGACGGCUAACUACGUG